GGUGCUCAUCUUCCAACUGUCUCUGAUCCUGCAUCAAUGGCCCAGCUCAACCCAGUCUCCGAACAGGUGUUGGGGACACAUCCCGUGUCCAGCUGUUCAUCUCUCUAGUGCAGACACUAUAGAGAUGUUUGGACUGCAGUAUAAUGAGCAUGGUUGCCCCCAGUUCCUGUGGACUGGGACCAGCACAGGACCAAGACUGCCCGACCUCCUCCAGAGCAGUGCAUCCACUGCACAGUCAUCGUAAUGGACGUGGCACUAAGGAGGAUUGUCCAGCCGCAGAUGACGCUGAAGAACCGUUACAUGCCGCUAACACCAGUCUGCUUCAGCAGCUUGGUUGAAAUGGAGAAACUUGUUCCAUCCCAUCAUCUUAGCCCUAAGGACUCCAAACCAGCUGUUCCACAAGUCACAAAGAAACCGACUGGAACGUGGCCAGACGCCUGCUUCCUCCAAGAUAAAUCUGCUUAAACACCAGGUAGCAACACCACGUGCGGAGGGCUCUUCGGGAUCGUCUUCCGUUGGUGUUGACAACGUGUCUGCGCGGCAAGAGGUUGGAUGAUGCACUGUGCCCAACUAAUCAUACACGUGAUGCCUUGAGAGGUCGGGGUCAGAUUGUGAGUACUCCUCUGUUUUCCUGAUCCGAUGUGAGGUCAAAGGUCAGGGAUGUCUAUGUGUCCAGAUUGUAAUGCACUCCGAGACAAAUUUGUAAAUUGUGAAAAUGGGCUAUACAAAUAAACUGAAUUGAAUUGA